rnacentral:rRNA from 1 species
AUUGAACACUGGCGGCAUGCCUUACACAUGCAAGUCGAACGGUAACGCGGGGCAACCUGGCGACGAGUGGCGAACGGGUGAGUAAUGCAUCGGAACGUGCCUGGUAGUGGGGGAUAACUGCUCGAAAGAGCAGCUAAUACCGCAUACGACCUGAGGGUGAAAGGGGGGGAUCGCAAGACCUCUCGCUAUCAGAGCGGCCGAUGUCGGAUCAGCUAGUUGGUGGGGUAAAGGCCCACCAAGGCAACGAUCCGUAGCUGGUCUGAGAGGACGACCAGCCACACUGGGACUGAGACACGGCCAAGACUCCUACGGGAGGCAGCAGUGGGGAAUUUUGGACAAUGGACGCAAGUCUGAUCCAGCCAUGCCGCGUGCGGGAAGAAGGCCUUCGGGUUGUAAACCGCUUUUGUCAGGGAAGAAAUCUUCUGGGUUAAUACCUCGGGAGGAUGACGGUACCUGAAGAAUAAGCACCGGCUAACUACGUGCCAGCCGCCGCGGUAAUAC